GACGAACCGUGCAAACGUUAUUCGGAAUCACUGGGCAUAAAGGGCGCGUAGGCGGCUCCAAAAGUCAGGGGUGAAAUCCGGCAGCUUAACUGUCGCAGUGCCUUUGAUACUGUGGAGCUAGAGGGAGGUAGGGGUCUGUGGAACUUCCGGUGGAGCGGUGAAAUGCGUUGAUAUCGACAGGAACGCCGGUGGCGAAAGCGGACCGCUGGCCCUCUUCUGACGCUGAGGCGCGAAAGCCAGGGGAGCGAACGGG
rnacentral:rRNA from 1 species